CCACACUUAGAAAAAUAAAUCAAGAAGUUGAAGAACAACAACCAACACCAUUCGGCCAAGAACCAAGAAAACCAAGUCCAAUUUUAGCCACCCCAAAAAUAUUUCUUUGGUGCAAAUCCACUAGUUGGAGGUCCCUUAGUAACGUGGAAGUGUUGUUGGAGCGAUCAAGCCAUCCGUUUAGUAGAUCGCAAACCCUAGGCAUAGUGUGGAGUUGAAGAAGAAAGACCUUGGGGAGCCCGAGGCGUAGGUUGGGAUUAGCUUGAGUUGGGCUAGCUUGGAGUGCGUACGAGGUGCAGACACACAGUUUGGUGAUCCAGCCGUUUAGGACACCCUCUUCUGCUGUUUGGAGUGCUCCUCUUAUUCCGGAGCCUACAUUUUGGUAUAUAUCUUCGUUCGUUGCAUAUGUAUGUAUUUGUUCAGGGGUACGGCGGGGCCCUGUCCCGCCAUAUGAUUCGGUCUGUCUGUUUAGAGGUCUGUAGACGUAUAUGUGGGUUUUGUGCCUACUUCUGUACGGGUGUGUUUGUAUGAUCCCACUUGCCAUGGCAGCCUUGUCGGCGUGCGUUUGUAUAUGUUUUGGGCCGUUGCGCCAUUUGAUAGCCUUGUCGGCUUCUGAUAUAUAUGUACAUAUAUGGUUGUGUUUGAAAUGUGUCUGAGACAGUUUGAUAUAAUUUGAGGCAGCGUGUGAUA